GGAAGCGUGGCAGAGCGGCCUAAUGCACUCGCCUUGAAAGCGAGCGGUCCGAGAGGGCCCGCGGGUUCGAAUCCCGCCGCUUCCGCCG
rnacentral:tRNA from 1 species